UACGUAGGGUGCGAGCGUUGUCCGGAAUUAUUGGGCGUAAAGAGCUCGUAGGCGGUGUGUCACGUCGGCCGUGAAAAACCUGCAGCUUAACUGUGGGCGUGCGGUCGAUACGGGCAUCACUGGAGUUCGGCAGGGGAGACUGGAAUUCCUGGUGUAGCGGUGAAAUGCGCAGAUAUCAGGAGGAACACCGGUGGCGAAGGCGGGUCUCUGGGCCGAUACUGACGCUGAGGAGCGAAAGCGUGGGGGAGCGAACAGG
rnacentral:rRNA from 1 species